rnacentral:rRNA from 1 species
UAUGAGUUUGAUCCUGGCUCAGAAUGAACGCUUGCGAUAGGCUUAACACAUGCAAGUUGAACGUGUAAAACACGUAGCGAACGGGUGCGUAACAUGUGGGAAUCUACCCAUACAUGAAGGUAAAUCCUUCUUAAAAGAUCCGUGAUCGUGUAUGGAUGAGCCCGCACAAGAUUAGAUAGUUGGUGUGGGAAGGGCGCACCAAGUCGAGGAUCUUUAGCUGAUCUUAGCGGAUGAUCAGCCACACUGGGACUGAGACACGGCCCAGGCUCCCAUGGGAGACAGCAGUGAGGAAUCUUGGACAAUGCACGAAAGUGUGAUCCAGCUAUAUCGCGUGGACGAAGAAGGGUAUUUUGCUUGUAAAGUCCUUUCAGCAAUAAACAUGUUUUUACAUGGAGCCAUAAUGACAGCUCUUGCAGAAGAAGCCCCGGCUAAUUUCUGUGCCAGCAGCCGCGGUAAUACAGAGGGGGCAAGUGUUAUUCGGAAUAAUUGGGCGUAAAUGGCGUGUAGGUUGUACUUCGCUGUUAUCGGUUAAAUCCCCAUCGAUAUGGUGGGUAAGGCUGAUAGAACGGUUGUACUAGAGAGUGAGAGAGGAUACGGGAAUUUCGAGUGGAGAAGUUAAAUUCUUAGAUAUUCGAAGGAAGGCCAACUGCGAAGGCACAUAUCUGGCUCAUUUCUGACACUGAGGCGCGAAGGCGUGGGGAGCGAAGCCGAUUAGAUACCGGCGUAGUCCACGCAGUCAACGAUGCUG